CCUACGGGAGGCAGCAGUGGGGAAUAUUGGACAAUGGACGCAAGUCUGAUCCAGCCAUGCCGCGUGCGGGAAGAAGGCCUUCGGGUUGUAAACCGCUUUUGUCAGGGAAGAAAAGGUUCUGGUUAAUACCUGGGACUCAUGACGGUACCUGAAGAAUAAGCACCGGCUAACUACGUGCCAGCAGCCGCGGUAAUACGUAGGGUGCAAGCGUUAAUCGGAAUUACUGGGCGUAAAGCGUGCGCAGGCGGUUAUGCAAGACAGAGGUGAAAUCCCCGGGCUCAACCUGGGAACUGCCUUUGUGACUGCAUAGCUAGAGUACGGUAGAGGGGGAUGGAAUUCCGCGUGUAGCAGUGAAAUGCGUAGAUAUGCGGAGGAACACCGAUGGCGAAGGCAAUCCCCUGGACCUGUACUGACGCUCAUGCACGAAAGCGUGGGGAGCAAACAGGAUUAGAUACCCUGGUAGUCCACGCCCUAAACGAUGUCAACUGGUUGUUGGGAGGGUUUCUUCUCAGUAACGUAGCUAACGCGUGAAGUUGACCGCCUGGGGAGUACGGCCGCAAGGUUGAAACUCAAAGAGUAGUAGGCGUGNGAGAGCGACGACGACGACGACGGAGGAGGAGG
rnacentral:rRNA from 1 species